rnacentral:rRNA from 1 species
UACGUAGGGACCGAGCGUUGUCCGGAUUCAUUGGGCGUAAAGAGCUCGUAGGCGGCCACUCAAGUCGAAUGUGAAACCUCGAGGCUUAACCUCGAGCCUGCAUUUGAUACUGGGCGGCUAGAGUCUGGUAGGGGGAUCUGGAAUUCCUGGUGUAGCGGUGGAAUGCGCAGAUAUCAGGAGGAACACCAAUGGCGAAGGCAGCUCGCUGGGACGGUACUGACGCUGAGGCGCGAAAGCGUGGGGAGCAAACAGG